UCUCUCAGUUCCAAUAGUUGGCAGUCAUAAUUUCUCAUUUUCGCAAUUGCAGUUGCUGUUAAAUCACCUCUGCUUGAAAAACUCUUGCAAGUUACCUCGCUGGGAAUCAUCAAACUUGCCAUUCUGGAGAAUACUGAUCAUUGUCAGCCACAGGUACGGCCGCAUGGAAAAUGACAGAUACCACAGUGAAUCAGCCCCCAGACGUGUCACAGGAGUGUCUGCAUUUGCGUGCAAAAGGUUUUUGAAGAGACCUUCAGCACAGCUCUGAUGAGACACAGCCUCUGCUGGAGCGAGGAACCCCCCUGGCAGAAGUGAGUGAGCGCAUGAACGAGGGAAGGAGUGAAAGACUGCCUGUCAGACUGGACUACCCGUGUGUUAAUCUGGCUGCUUCAGACACCGAAUACCACACAGAACCCAUGUUGUUCCAAGAAGUGAAUUCAUAUACAGAGCAAGCUGCCUCCUAACCAGUGGGUGUAGACAAGCACCAGGACCUCUUGCUGGCCUUGCAACACACUGGGAACUUCUGAUGGUUCAGUUUGCUGCCUGGCUAACCUGGACAUCAGGUCGCAGGAAGACACUGUGGCACUGCUGCAUAUGUGAGUCAGUGAUCAGCCAUGCUUAGGUCACUUCACCCUCAACAUAGCAUGCAUAUACCCUGCAGCCUCCUGCUAAGGGCCUGGCAAACCAGGGUCCCAGGCCCACACUCUGUGAGACACAAGGCCACAGUCCUGUCCCCUUUGUUUGCUGAGAAGGAAUUGUGAAAGUCUGAAUGCUGCCAGCUUUGUUCAGAAGGCCUUCUGCACUCACCUCAUGGAGCUGGCCCCAAAGUAAUGAGAAUCAAACAGAAGUGUAUAUGGAGGCUUAGCUCUCAUUCUGGUUUGAAUACAGGAGUUUGAAACAAUCCUGCCAUCUUGUCAUGCAGCAAGUCUCCUGCUCAUGGUGUUCCGACCAGCUCGGCCCACCUCAGCCAAACCCUCACCACAGAGCACCCAAAGUACGGCCCCUCUGGUGAGAGCUGUACAGACUGAGGACCCUUCUCUAUGUUUCUUUGUGUUCACCCUUCAGACGCAAAUCAGAAGGGGAAAGGAACAGAAGUGGUGUAGCUGGCAGGUGGUGCGGGAUGCCCACUCCUGCAUCUAAUAGCACACCCAGCUGAUGCCUUUUCUUUCGGAAGUGGGAGGCAGCCAGAAGAGUUUUCUCUCUUGCAGCGAUACUGUUUGCUCAAGGAGCUGUAGUAAAUGCUUGGCUUGUUUCUGAAAGGGCAGCACCCAGCCAUUUGGUGCUGGUUAGAUGUGCUUCUUGGUCUAUGGAAGCAGGGAUUUCCAUACGCUAAAAAAAAAUUGAGCAGAGCUUUAGACUGCAGCAGCCGUUCACCGAGGUUCUCUUUUUAGCUCUUAGAACUCCUG
ensembl:lncRNA